UGGGGAAUUUUACGCAAUGGGGGAAACCCUGACGUAGCGACACCGCGUGAGCGAAGAAGCCCUUUGGGGUGUAAAGCUCUGUCAACAGGAACGAAACAAAUGACGGUACCUGUGGAGGAAGCAUCGGCUAACUACGUGCCAGCAGCCGCGGUAAGACGUAGGAUGCAAGCGUUGUCCGGAUUUAUUGGGCGUAAAGAGUUCGUAGGCGGUUUGUUAAGUCUGAUGUUAAAGACCGGGGCUCAACCUCGGA
rnacentral:rRNA from 1 species